GGGGAAUUUUGGACAAUGGGGGCAACCGUGAUCCAGCAAUACCGCGUGUGUGAAGAAGGCCUUCGGGUUGUAAAGCACUUUUGUCCGGAAAGAAAACCUCCGUCCUAAUACGGUGGGGGGAUGACGGUACCGGAAGAAUAAGCACCGGCUAACUACGUGCCAGCAGCCGCGGUAAUACGUAGGGUGCAAGCGUUAAUCGGAAUUACUGGGCGUAAAGCGUGCGCAGGCGGUUCGCUAAGACCGAUGUGAAAUCCCCGGGCUUAACCUGGGAACUGCAUUGGUGACUGGCGGGCUAGAGUAUGGCAGAGGGGGGUAGAAUUCCACGUGUAGCAGUGAAAUGCGUAGAGAUGUGGAGGAAUACCGAUGGCGAAGGCAGCCCCCUGGGCCAAUACUGACGCUCAUGCACGAAAGCGUGGGGAGCAAACAGGAUUAGAUACCCUGGUAGUCCACGCCCUAAACGAUGUCAACUAGUUGUCGGGUCUUCAUUGACUUGGUAACGAAGCUAACGCGUGAAGUUGACCGCCUGGGGAGUACGGUCGCAAGAUUAAAACUUAAAGGAAUUGACG
rnacentral:rRNA from 1 species